CAAGAGAAGCUUACAGAAAGGGGUGUAUUCCUUAGCAGUCUCCAAAAAACGUUUAUUUUGUUUGCGUGGACGAAUCUGAGGUCGUGUGUAGGUUGUCAAUUUCAUUUGUUCUUGCGAGUUGAAUGCGUGUACAUUCAAAACUAUAUUUGCAACAGCGGGUAGACUUUAACGUUUUCUUUUACGUGCAACGAACUUCAUGAAAAUCGGUUCAAUUGACAUAUUCUGACACACGGCACUUUAGUUUCAACGAACCGCCAGUAGCGUUGCCGGCAGUCAUCCGGCAGUGCUAUCGCUGACAGCAUGGAGCAAUGGCGACCACCAUGUUACAUCAACAACGCAGCUUGCCAUCUUGCGACACAACGCACGCUGAAGCUUUUGCUAAUCUCUGAAAGGUGGUCGCUUAUCUCAGUCAUACCAAGCGCUUCAGUGGACGAGUAGCGUCAGUUAUCACAGCGUGUUCAAUUACUGCUCUCUGACUUAGCUUCCGCGUUAACUGCGUACAGAGCUGCUCUUUCAUGUGCUGUUCAAGAAAAUGCUUCGCCACGGACUUGGUGCUCUGCACGCCAAACCGUGCUAAAUCAGUAUCGCUGACUCCGUGGAUUCGCGGCGACCUUCAUGACUACUGCGUACGCAUUGAUGACGAAGGACAACGCACCGUUGAUGCUGUGCAACUUGAGCAUGGUCUGGUCUCCUACUGUGCUGGGCUUCACCACUUGACUGUGCGGUGUCGACCCAGCCAUGUUUGCAGUCUGCGGUCGCCGCAUGCCAAUUUAACUUCUUCUGAGGUACUUGAUCACUGAGGCAACGUGGACAGCGAAGCUCAACUAGGCAUGCCAUGCUGCUCACUGCAUGGAAGUAUCCUUUGGACAGCGCAUGGGGGCACUCGGGAUGCGAGAAAGUGGGAAGAAUGUUACGCGAAACUCUUUCUAUAAUAAUAAGGGGUAAUAGAGAGAAACGACCCAUACUAUUGAAAGAAUUUGUGUCAUAUUUGCCUUUCAAAAAAGAUGGUCAGGCGUUUCCGAAAAUAUUUGCAUAACAGAAACCAAUUACGCCACAUAUACCUGGUGUGUUGUUGUUUUGUUAGGGUACAUGUACUUCAAAACACAGUGGACUUUCAUUAAGUUGAUGCUGAUUAACUAGAUUUUUCGGUUAAUCUGAUCCUGACCAAAGGUCUUGGCUGUCACCCUUACAUUUAUGUGGUACAAACUCGUUAUUUUCAUCCUGAAAUUAGCCUUCACCGGAUAAUAAAGUUGCCCUGUCGAGAACACUUAUUUUUGGCCUACCUCAGGGGGAUAUAAAAGCGAAAAUGGUAGCUCAAAAUGAAUAAUACUAUAUUUACCUUAUCCUAACGUGAACCUUCUUUUUUUUUACCAAGAAAAUUUGCCCGAAAUUGCUUUGGUGGCACAGUCGCAUGCAAAGGCAAAACUGCAUUUGCAAAGCUUGCCAUCAAAGCUACUGUCAUCGUCAUUGCCAUUGCAAGAUGGCGACUCACAUAGCACAACAACAACAACGACGCCCCGUUUUCAGUCUUUGAUUACAAAAGCUCUUUAAAGAUAAGUUAUUUUACGUGUUAAGCUAGCAACAACAAAUCACGUCACAUGUUCUUGGCAUUCUGGAGAACUGCAUGCCUCACAGGACAAACUAGCAAAGUGCUAGUCUAGGUGUGGGUCACCAGCCCAUUAGUGAUAGUUGUGGAGUCUUUAGAUAAGUGCGGAAUAUCAAAGGCACUGUGGACUGUAAGGAGGAUGAGAUUUUUGUCUUCAUAGAAAAUACAGUGCUGUUCGAAAGUGGUGACGAUAGACAUUAAAUAUAUAAAAUCCUAUUUUCCUAUAACUUUGCUGGUUUUGUAUUUUUCUUUGUGCCAGAAUUGAUGGCAUGCUUCAUUUUCAUUGAUAAAGUUCAAUUCAAUUUCUACUUUCUACUUCAACUCAAAUUCAAUUUCUUCUUUGUUUAGAAGCUUUAGCGUCAUCUUCAUGUUAGUUUUCUACUUCGAACCCAUAAAAUGGGUUCGAAGUAGAAAACUAGUAAGCAGUCUUCAGUGGGUGGUGAGGAAAAAACAGCAUGCUCUGUGUUCGAAUUAAGGCUUCACCUAAUGAAUUGCAUUUUUCAUAUAUUGUGCAUGUGCUGCAGAAACAUUGCAACAGGGAACAGCGAAGGAAAAUGAAGUUGCUUUCAAUUAUACUGAAACGUAGGAAUAAGAAAAACAACAUAGUGGACGAUCUAGAGCAUCCUAGUGCAGGCAUUAUAAGUGUUAAUAUGGCUGUUACCAAAAAAAAAUUGACCCCCUUUUUUUCUUUACUUCUCAUAGGUGUAACAGUGUCAUUUGUGUUUUUUUCCAUAUUUCUUGUUUUAUUGACUUCGCUCGAUUUUCUUGCAGUUAUGUAUUUAUUGAAGUAUAAGGCAAGGUUUUUAUUCAGACUUGUAGCCUCGAAGUCGCCCCUGGCCUCAUAUGUGAGGCUGAUAGACCCAGCACCACAUUUUCAGUGAUCCAGAUUUUACGCAGCAGCGCACAUUGUAGCAACUAAUAAACCUUGGCAGGUGAGGCAGUACUGUAUAUUUUGCAUAUAACCUCCACCGAGAAUUCGGAAAAUUUAACAGUAAAGGCAGGGGGGAGGAGGUUAUAUGCAAAUUUCUGUUUGAUGUUUGACUUCACAGCAGCCUGAAUUUCAUCUUAUGGUGUGGCUUCGCAGCAGCGCGUCUGGGGGUGCCCGAUUAUUUGGUAUUUCGGGCAGUCCCCACUGAGUCUCAAUAAUCUGCUGCCGAUUCUAUGUCACCCUAUAUUAGUGUGCAUACUUAAGUUACUUUUCUUGGGUCCCCCAACUGGGAACGGGAAGGCAGGAAUCCUCGCCUUAUAAUCGAAUAAAUACAUCGUUUCUGGGAAUACUGUUCUGGAUCAUAACAUUUGUGACUCAGUGACCACGAUGUGUUGAUGCCAAGCGCAAUAUCUACAGUGGUUGCAUUUCGAUGAGGGCAAACUGCUAAAGCACCUGUGCCGUGAACUUGUGCGCAUUAAAGAACCGCAGGUUGUCAAAAUCAUUUAAGUGCCCCCCAUCGGCAGCCUCACUCUUCAAUCAGAUUGUGGCUUUGAGGUAUAAAAACCCAAGAAUCAAAUUUUGUCAGUUAUAUAUGGAAAGACCUUGACCUCAGUUGAACCAGGCACUGGUGUCAGUACAGGUAAUUUUGCAAUUUUAUUUCUUCCAGCACUUGGCUGGAAUUCAGUUUCUAAAACAAAGUGGAGUCAGAAAAUUUGCAUUAGUACUUCAUCGUCCACUACUCUGUUUACUCCCCUCUCCCAAUGUUAAGUAACAGGCCAGUGUGCAGUGUGCUGAGGCUUCGUGAUGGCUGCAUGAUAUUAUGCAGAAGACAAUGGGAGGAAUUAAAUGAGAAUAAUAUCAGGUUGUGGCCAAUGUUUCAAAGACAGACUGAAACAUUGGCUCCAGCUUCAAAUAUCUCUUUUUGUGCCUUCAUUGAUCGCUUGAAAUAUCUCAAACCGUGAUACUCUUGAUUGAGUGAAAGGCGUUGGUGAUUUGAUCACUCAGUUUUGGCUUGCAUACAAGUCUAGUUUAUAAAUCAUGUUAAACUUCUUUCCAGGUUUCUGCUGACAAUCUGCAUAUUGAAGCUCUUCAGUGCACCUGGAUGCAUCCAUAUUUUCUGCAAAGCCGUCAAGGAGAUUCCUUUGUCGUUGUUUAGAUUGUGUUUAUCAGGGAUCAAUGGCAGAUACUGUUACAUUUUUGCAUGAAAGAAAUAUCGAGAUGCAUUUUUUGUGUCGUGCUUAACAUGUGUUUACUCACGCCAUUUCUUUCCCACUUGUCGACAAGGCCUCAUUCUCGAGCAGCACAUGUGUGUCAGUACAAGUGCCAAGGUAAUAGCAAGACGAUGAGCAAAACGUGAACAAGGU